UACGGGGGGAGCAAGCGUUGUUCGGAUUUACUGGGCGUAAAGGGCGCGUAGGCGGCCACCGCAAGUCGGUUGUGAAAUCUCUGGGCUUAACCCAGAAAGGUCAACCGAUACUGCGGGGCUAGAGUGCAGAAGGGGCAACUGGAAUUCUCGGUGUAGCGGUGAAAUGCGUAGAUAUCGAGAGGAACACCGGUGGCGAAGGCGGCGACCUGGGUAGAUACUGACGCUGAGGCGCGAAAGCGUGGGGAGCAAACAGG
rnacentral:rRNA from 1 species